rfam:Trichomonas vaginalis G3, whole genome shotgun sequence.
GGUCAUUUGGCCGAGUGGUCUAAGGCGCCAGUUUAAGGCACUGGUCCGCGAGGGCCUGGGUUCGAACCCCAGAGUGACCA